rnacentral:lncRNA from 1 species
CGCCUCUUCCUCCAUGCCUCUCCCUUCAUACCUCCCCGCAAGCUGAGGGAGGCGGCUCCGGCCUUGGCCAGCCCAGAAAGGGGCUCCCACAGUGCAGCGGCGGGCUGAAGGGCUUCUUAAGUGCCGCCAAAGUGGGAGCCCAGGCAGAGGAGGCGCCGAGAGCGAGCAAGGGCUGUGAGGACUGCCAGCACGCUGUCACCUCUCACUAUGAGAAACAAGAUCGCACUAUGUUCCCCAGGAUGGUCUCAAACUGGACUCAAGCAACCCUGCCUCAGCCUUCCAAAGUGCUGUGAUUACAGG